rnacentral:lncRNA from 1 species
GAAAACCUGAGAUUAUAAGUCAAUUUAGUUUUUUUUAUACAUAGUUAUACUCCUCCUAAGUACAUGUUAUGUAUAGAUAUAUUAUAAAAACUAUGUAUCUAGAAAAGACAAAGCAACUUAUAAUUUAGAAGAGAGAGUAGGUAGAAAAACUAAAAACUACCUGCACCGUUUGAACAGAGGAAGUAAUAAGAUUCUUGUGACCAACCAACGAACUGACUGAACUCGGUAGCAUGUGAACCGACUACCUAGGAGUCUAGGACACGACGACACGCCGAUUGCCGGGUCAUGCGGUCACGUACGGGGCAUGCUCCAUUCAGACUCCCACACAUAACGAUUGCAUGGAUCCCGCCGGCUUGCUGAUUGUGCUUGCUUCGCGUGUUGACCCUGCAGACUGCACACAACUCAACUCAUCAGCAGCUAGCAACGUACAGUACUCCAGUUUCACAUGUAUAGUCACAUCGAUCGUUGUCCCACGCCCUACGUACGUACGUACGUACCAAGGUUGAGAAAUUAACAAACCAUCCAGGCAAUCGUACGUCCUGGCCUGGAAUUGGAGACAAGAGGGCUUUGCCUUUUGCGAGCGCUCUCGAUCGGUCUCGGACUCUCGGUGUGCCAGUUUGGGCGAACACGCUCGCUUAACGGUUUCCCCUUGCUUGCCUUGCCCAUAGACCUGCAGGCACCAGGCAGGUUACUUGGCUUGCAUUGCAUUGCAUCCCCACAGAUCGACACCCCCGCCCACGCCUGUUACUGUGCGAGGUGCGAGCUAGCCCAGGCCUGGUGCCCUGGUAGCUGCACUUUAAAAAAAAAAAUUUAAAAAAAAAGCCCAGAUGAUGAGACAUAGGAUCCAGUGAGCUCGAAUUCAUGCAUGUUUGCGCUGUGUCUGUCCAUCAGGCACGGGCCCGGCUCCUGGGUGUUGAACUGUUGAUGAGGUCCACGAGAGCAGCCGGUCUGGUUGCCUACGUUCGCAACCGAGACUCUUGAUACAUAUAUAUGUGGUCAGCUCUUGCCGAUCGUUAUUAACAGUUUUUUUUUACUGAAAAUCAACAUCUUCGUGCUGUCGUCUCGUUCCGUUCCGUUCCGUUCAAUGAAGUAUAUCGAACCAAAAGCACGACCUGAUCGUGACAUGCCACACGGCAUUUUUCGCAAACACGACACGGGAUCGAACGAGCAGGGAUCCAGGACAAAAUGCAGCACCCAACCACGUCCCAUGCUGCUCCAACAUUCCCCUCGUGCCCGGAACUGUAGCCUUUACAAAAACGCAACGGAUCGCCGACGCUCCAACAGUUAGGCUGUCCAAGUCGUAGAGAGGUUCUUGCCGCCUGGGGGCAAAUUAUACUGCCGAGGGCAAAAAAAUCAUGUGCGCUACGCAAGUGUAUGCACUGCAGCCACAGUUACUUUCACCCUACCUUCUGUAAAAACAGUAUCAUUCUUACUACCGAAAAGUCAAAUAUUUUUAAUUUUGAUCAAAUAUAUAAAAGAAAAUAUUGAUACUUAUGAUGUAUAAUUAGUAUUAUUAAAUAAAUCACUAAUAAACACAUUUAGAGCUAUAAACUUUGCUAAUAAUUUUUAAACCUAGUCAAACUUUAAAAGCAUAUGUAUGAGCGUUAUACUCCUCCAGUUC